ACAUUAAAACGCCGUUUCCCGUACGACCCCCAAGGUUAAGCAACGUCCAGCCUGGUCAGUACCUAGAUAGGUAACCGCUUGGGAAUACCAAGUGCUGUAAG